UCCUGCCGGACCUGACUGCUAUCGGAUUGAUACUAAGCCAUGCGAGUCUUUGCAGUAAUGCAAGGCAUACGGCUCAGUAACACGUAGUCAACUUACCCUAUGGACGAGGAUAAUCUCGGGAAACUGAGCAUAAUACUCGAUAGAUCAUAAUGCCUGGAAUGGUUUAUGGUUAAAAUGAUUCGUCGCCAUAGGAUGGGACUGCGGCCUAUCAGUUUGUUGGUGAGGUAAUGGCCCACCAAGACUAUUACAGGUACGGGCUCUGAGAGGAGUAGCCCGGAGAUGGGUACUGAGACACGGACCCAGGCCCUAUGGGGCGCAGCAGGCGAGAAAACUUUGCAAUGUGCGAAAGCACGACAAGGUUAAUCCGAGUGGUUUCUGCUAAAGGAACCUUUUGUCAGUCCUAGAAACACUGAUGAAUAAGGGGUGGGCAAGUUCUGGUGUCAGCCGCCGCGGUAAAACCAGCACCUCAAGUGGUCAGGAUGAUUAUUGGGCCUAAAGCAUCCGUAGCCGGCUCUGUAAGUUUUCGGUUAAAUCUGUACGCUCAACGUACAGGCUGCCGGGAAUACUGCAGAGCUAGGGAGUGGGAGAGGUAGACGGUACUCGGUAGGAAGGGGUAAAAUCCUUUGAUCUAUUGAUGACCACCUGUGGCGAAAGCGGUCUACCAGAACACGUCCGACGGUGAGGGAUGAAAGCUGGGGGAGCAAACCGGAUUAGAUACCCGGGUAGUCCCAGCUGU
rnacentral:rRNA from 2 species